rnacentral:tRNA from 1 species
GGGCCUUUAGCUCAGCGGUUAGAGCAGGGGACUCAUAAUCCCUUGGUCGUCGGUUCGAAUCCGACAGGGCCCA